GGGGGUAACUGUGGUAGCUGCGCCAUGAGUACAACGCGAGGGGCGAGUUUGUGCCCUGUCCGUGGCCUCAGCACCUGCGGUGGUUGAGGUGGGUCACAGGGGUUGGGCGGUUUGCCCAUUAAAGUGGGACGCGGGCUGGGUUCAGAACGUCGUGAGACAGUUCGGGCCCUCUCCGUCGCAGGCGUAGGAAAUUGGAGAAGACCUGUCCUUAGUGCGAGCGGACCGGGAUGGACGUACCUAUGGUGUACCAGUUGUCCUGCCAAGGGCAUGGCUGGGUAGCUGUGUACGGAAUUGAUAAACGCUGAAAGAAUCUAAGCGCGAAACCACCUUCCAGAUAAAGUAUCCCACCGCAAGGGUAAGACCCCAGAACGAGUAUCGGGUUGAUAGGGCGAAGAUGUAAUUGUCGUAAUUGAUAUAGCUGAUU
rnacentral:rRNA from 1 species